AAAAUUACUAUUGGGUUUCGAACUCAUGACCAUUUAAAUUAACUCCUCGAUAAUCGAGGAAUAAAAUUUCCACUUUUCAUGUUACCCUUCGUUACCUCGACAUUGUAACCGAAGGGAAAUUCAUUUCGCGUCACCUUGAUAAUCCUGAAAUGCUCUUAAUUUUAAUAAGUUAAAAAUAUUUAUUAUUUAAAAAAAAAAAUCUUAAACCCCUUCUAAAAUGUGAAAAAAAAUAGUUAGUCUUUUUAAAACUACCGAAAGUUUAUAAAUUUAAAAGAUCUGAUCUGAAUAUUAAAACUAAAAUAUUUAGUUUUCAACAUUUUUAGUUUGAAUUUAAAGGGUGGAAAAAACAUAUAAAAAAGAGUUUGAAUUAGGAGUAUUUUUAAAGAUAGAAGAAAAAGGAUAUAAAAAGUUUAUCCAAAUUCACCACCAUAAUUUAAUAGCUAUAUUUAG
rnacentral:lncRNA from 1 species